GGCCUCAUUUUUCCUUGUUCGGGGUUUGAGGUGCCACCUUACAAAAGGAUGGGUGUACGCUCUCUUUUCAGAAUGUGGUUCAUCUCAAAGCCCUUUACACUUUGGAGCCAGGCCUGUUCAAUUUUACAAAUAACACGUUUUGCUUGUAGUCAGGGUGCUGUGACAACAUGAAGAGUUCGAGCUACCUCCCAGGAUGAGUGCAGGUUUUCCUGGUGACAAAUCUCAGGCAUUCAAAGGUUAGUUAGAUUAUUUUGGAUGGGGUUUGUUCACUAGGUUUGCUGUUUCUAUGAUGAAUCAAACUAGCUCACUAUGACUGCUAAUGAAAACACAGGAACACCUGAGAAACCAAAGGGUAGUGUGGGGGCAAGGGCCUUAUAUCCAGCCUUUUCAAGGUUUGUUAUUUUUCUCCAGGUUCUGUUAGCAGUGCCAUACUUGUGGGUUUACAGAGAUGGUGUGUCUGGCUGAGAACAAAGGAGCCGUACCAGGUAUAUGUCUUAGUAAUGCUUUUUGUAGUAUAAGGUUGAAUAUAUAAUACUUAGACCUAGUGAAUUCCUGCUCACCCUGAUGAACUGAAUACCGCCCCAGUCUGAUAGCUGUGGAGAAAGGUAUUUUCUGAGUUGUGAGCUCAUUUUGGAUCAAGUAGGAAAUUUUUUAUGCUAAUACUAGCAUAGUAUUAAUACUAGCAUAAGCUUUUGUAAAAGAAGCUUAAGCAUUAAUGGCCCAAAUUGUUUGCUAUUUUGUAGGAAAGUUGAAGCAUAUCUUCAUUUUCAAGUCCAGGCUAAAAUAAGGUCUGAGGAAAAGAAUGAGCUGCGUGUGAAGGAUAGGAACAGAAAUCAUGAAAGAUCUGUUUGUCCAGGCCAGUGUUUCACCAUAAGAGAUCACUUUAAAAUAAAUGAUGAAAUAAUUCUUUGCAAUUGCAAAUUUACCUUCCUUGCUUACCACAUUGUUAACUGUAGGAGCUGAUACCUGGUUCUUCCACUGUUAACUUGUACUCUGUGUUUGUUCUAGCAAUAAAUGCUCUUUAUGCUAUUUA
rnacentral:lncRNA from 1 species